rnacentral:lncRNA from 13 species
CAGCAUCAGAGAACUGUGUUUUGAAGAUUUAAGGGAAGGGCUGAACUCAGGAUUUUAUACUAGAUUUGUGUAAACACACAAGAUUCCUUUUUUCUCUGCCCCAAAUUUAAUCAUCAGAAUGAAAUAUGAAGUUCAAGGCCCUAUCUCAAGUGGCUCUGGGCCAUACAAACAGAUGGAAAUGGGUGUGGGGAAACCCAGGCCUCCUACCCAUGCUAAGAGAGCUGCUCAGAAGCAGGCAUCCAGAACCAGGAAUGUCCCCAGUGGCCGCCCAGGGUACAAGUGGCAGGCAGCGUGGAGAAUGGCAUGUGAAGUCAUUCGUAACCUGGCCCCAGGUUGGUUUUCAAGUCUCAGAGGAGAUUAUGGAUAUGGCGGUGCCUGGCUCCGUGCUUGACCUCAGCGGGUUAAUUUCUCAAAUAUGGCAACCUCUUCUGGGAGAAAGGAGGACUCUUUGGAAAGUUACAUUGACUCUUAAAACCACAAGGGUACCAUUUGGUGCAUUCCUGCCCCAGCAAUUAUUACCCUUUGAGAGCCUGCAGAGCUACGUCCAGCCUUCCCUUUGGUCUCUGUAGG